AGCGAAGAAGUUCCAUAAGGUUUGUCCGAAGAGGUUCCGGAAGACCCGAACCAAUCUUCACUGUUUUGUCUUUCUUUCCCAGGACCAGCUCGAUCUCCUCCGUCUCUCCUGCAGGGACAACCAAUGGCUCCGAACUACUUUCAGUGAAGGGCUCGAUCUCAAUUGCCAUAGUUUGCUUCUAUUUACUGACCCCUACUCCCG
rnacentral:lncRNA from 1 species